GUGCUUGCUUUGGCAGCACAAAUACUAAAAUGGGCAUGGCCUCUGUAUAAGGAUGCCAUACAAAUUAAGGAAGUGUUCUAUAUUUAA
rnacentral:snRNA from 1 species